GCCAGCAGCCAUAUCACCCUGCAACUCACAACUGGCUCCCCACUGAAGCUCAGCUGGUGUGAGCCUGGUCUGUACCUGGAUGGGAGACCUCCCGGGAAAAACUAAGGUUUCUGCUGGAA
rnacentral:rRNA from 1 species